rnacentral:rRNA from 1 species
GGCGAACGGGUGAGUAACGGGUGGAUAAUCUGCCUUUCGGUGUGGGACAACGGCUGGAAACGGCCGCUAAUACCGCAUGCGGUUGCCGUGAUUGUGGUCAUGGCAAAGAAAGGGGCUGCAAGGCCUCGCCGAAAGAUGAGUCCGCCUCCCAUUAGCUAGUUGGCGGGAUAAUAGCCCACCAAGGCUCCGAUGGGUAGCCGAGCUGAGAGGUUGAUCGGCCACACUGGAACUGAGACACGGUCCAGACACCUACGGGUGGCAGCAGUAGGGAAUAUUGGUCAAUGGGCGCAAGCCUGAACCAGCCAUGCCGCGUGAGUGAUGAAGGCCUUCGGGUCGUAAAACUCUUUUCUGAGGGAAGAACAUCUCGCGUAGGAAAUGACGCGGGCUUGACGGUACCUCAGGAAUAAGCAACGGCUAACUCCGUGCCAGCAGCCGCGGUAAUACGGAGGUUGCAAGCGUUGUUCGGAAUGACUGGGCGUAAAGGGAGCGCAGGCGGUGGGGUACGUCGAAAGUGAAAGCCCGGGGCUUAACCUCGGAAGUGCUUUCGAUACGGCCCUGCUCGAGUUCGUGAGAGGAAAGCGGAAUUCCAGGUGUGGCGGUGAAAUGCGUAGAUAUCUGGAGGAACACCGGUGGCGAAAGCGGCUUUCUGGCACGAUACUGACGCUGAGGCUCGAAAGCGUGGGGAGCGAACGGGAUUAGAGACCCCGGUAGUCCAUGC